rnacentral:tRNA from 1 species
GGCGAAGUGGCCGAGUGGUCUAAGGCGCAGGAUUUAGGCUCCUGUCCGAAAGGGCGCAGGUUCAAACCCUGCCUUCGUCA